UACGUAGGGAGCAAGCGUUGUCCGGAAUCAUUGGGCGUAAAGCGCGCGUAGGUGGCUUCUUAAGUCCGUUGUGAAAGUCAAAGGCUCAACCUUUGAAAGCCGAUGGAUACUGCGGAGCUAGAGUACGGAAGAGGCGAGUGGAAUUCCUGGUGUAGCGGUGGAAUGCGCAGAUAUCAGGAGGAACACCAAUAGCGAAGGCAGCGCGCUGGGACGUUACUGACACUGAGGCGCGAAAGCGUGGGGAGCGAACAGG
rnacentral:rRNA from 1 species